UAGGGAAUCUUCGGCAAUGGACGAAAGUCUGACCGAGCAACGCCGCGUGAGUGAAGAAGGUUUUCGGAUCGUAAAACUCUGUUGUUAGAGAAGAACAAGGACGUUAGUAACUGAACGUCCCCUGACGGUAUCUAACCAGAAAGCCACGGCUAACUACGUGCCAGCAGCCGCGGUAAUACGUAGGUGGCAAGCGUUGUCCGGAUUUAUUGGGCGUAAAGCGAGCGCAGGCGGUUUCUUAAGUCUGAUGUGAAAGCCCCGGCUCAACCGGGGAGGGUCAUUGGAAACUGGGAGACUUGAGUGCAGAAGAGGGGAGUGGAAUUCCAUGUGUGGCGGUGAAGUGCGUGGAUAUAUGGAGGAACACCAGUGGCGAAGGCGGCUCUCUGGUCUGUAACUGACGCUGAGGCUAGAAAGCGUGGGGAGCAAACAGG
rnacentral:rRNA from 1 species